ACGCUCGACACCUACGGGAGCCAGCAGUGAGGAAUAUUGGUCAAUGGGCGCUAGCCUGAACCAGCCAAGUAGCGUGAAGGAUGAAGGCUCUAUGGGUCGUAAACUUCUUUUAUAUAAGAAUAAAGUGCAGUAUGUAUACUGUUUUGUAUGUAUUAUAUGAAUAAGGAUCGGCUAACUCCGUGUCAGCAGCCGCGGUAAUCUGAGCGGGCUGGCAAGGC
rnacentral:rRNA from 1 species